UUGAUCGGGGAUUCAAUUUUGUUUUCUAUGUUCUUUUUCUAGCAUGUCCUUUGAUGUGUUGUGUUCUCCAGAGAUUCAAUCAUCAAUCUUCUCAUGUACAAUCUUGGGAUACUACAUGGAGAUCGGGUCCUAGCACAAUUUUAGGCACGUGCUUAAGAUCUAGACUGCAAUCCCAACAUACUCAGUUCAGAAAAGAGAUGGUUUUGGGAGUCCGCUUUGAUAAACUGGUGAUAGCAUGGCAUGCCAUCUAAAAUAUCUGCAUCCGGUGAGGAAAAGAAGAAAAAGCAAUGACAGAAUAAUUUAUAUAGUUACAGAGCGGAUGCAUUGAUAUUUUUCUUAAGAGUAAUAUGAGGAGUUGAAGGAAUCCAGGUGUGACAUUUGUUCUGAUGGAACUACUAGUCAUAAUCCAGAAGACAAGGGCACAAGGGCAACCAACAGAUGAUAAGAAUGUAAAGAUUUGGGAUGAUCGCAAGUUAGCGCCUCUAUCGAUUCUAAAGCCACAUGAUGGUCAAGCUGUUUACUCAGUUGCCUUUCUUACAGCACCUGAGCGCCCACAUCAUAUAAAUCUCAUCACAGCAGUAUCAGCAAUUUAGGUCCCCGGUUCAUCUUUAGAUGUCGUUCGGAAAGAAACUUAUCUUAGUCUCAGAAAUAUUUUCUUUUUUCCUUCUACGAUAUUUGUUGCAGCUUGCUUUAUAUGACAGAACUGCUGUGCAUCAUAUGAUACUGGAAAAAUCAUGGUAAAAAACUAUGCCAUCUAAAAUUCAGAUGUACACUAACCUUGGUGGCUGCUGCUUGUAGAUGGAUGGGGGUUGGCUGGAUGCAGACUUGACGGAGGUGGAGCCCGACGGCGACUCAACGACGGAGGCCGGACUACCGGAGGCGGAGCCGUCAACGCGCCCGCAAGGGGUGGCUGGAUGCAGUACUGGAUGUGGAAUUGCGGAGCCGCGGGGGAGCGGGUCG